AUUAACUUAGAAGAUCCCUAGCUUCAACCACCAUGUUUUUGUAUGGCUAGCUUAGAGGCCAAUUUUUCAGAUGCUAGUACAGAGGAAUGCUUUGGAAAAUAUGAUGUGACCAAAAGCAACUACAAUAACAACAUCAAGCCUUUAUCCCACUAUGUGUGGUCGGCUAAAUGCAUUCUUUUUCUUCACUGUGCCCUGUUAAGAGUCAAAAUAUGAUGUGACCAAUAAUCAUAAAUUUUUCAUGAAGCUGCUUCAUUUCUUUUGUUAGGUUUUGUGUGAAUAUGUGACUACCAAUUUCAGAAUGGUGUAAGAUGUUUUGGUUGGGUUUGGUGGUCUAGGGGUUCGUGUAGGAGCCAUGUGCUAUACUUGUUGGAUGGGGAGAUUAUUCCCCAAAAUUCUCUUGGUAAAUCCUUAGUAAUUUGGAGAAGAUUUGAUUAAAGUUAGUUAUGAUAUACAAACCUUACUAGAGGUAUAUUUUUUGGGUAAAUUUUAGGCAAGUUUUAUUUAAUUUACCUAGAUUUGGGUCAAUUCUUAACAAAUUUUGAAGAAAAAUGAUUAAACUAUUUUCCAAACUCAAGCCAAAUAAAUACAAAUUAUUAUCACACCUGCCCUUAAUCAUCUAUAAUAAUUAACUUCUCGUCUAUGAAGUCUGAAGACGGACAAGUAGACAUGAAAAUGACUUGAAAUUGGCAUGACAACACAACAUAUCUAUAAAUAACAUGUCAUGGAUAUAUUGUUAUGUUAUAUAAAUUAUUAAUAUAAAAUAAAUAAUUUCAAGUAUUUUUCUAUUAAGGGCGUCCCGGGGUUAAGUAUAAUAUCAUAUACUUAUGUUCACAAAAAAAAAAAGAAUUAUUGAUAGAAAUAAUCAAAAUAAGAACAAAUUACAAAUUCAAAAGUGUUAAUAAUAAUUGCUAAUCAAAUUAAACUUCUUGAUUAUAGGUCAUUUUUAUAUAAUCCUUAUAACAGUUAAUGAAAAUGUUCUCAAUGUAAACAAAAUCCAUGCAAAUGCAAGUCUUAAUUACAAAUUCAAAAUUUUAACCUACUAUUUGGAUUAAUACUAUAACAUGAUGCUAAUCAAAAUAAUACAAAAUUGAGGAUUUUCAUCUACAUAUUGUGCUCGAGAUAGAAGGAUCGAACUAGUUAACUAUUAGCUAUCUAACUAAGAAGUUCGAGUUCUCAUUAUUUUUGUGUGAAAAAAGUUUGUCCAAGAUUCCUAAGUUUAAUUAAUUCAUAAUGCAAGAUAGAUCUUCCAAUUUUGCAAGGAAAUAUUUUUAUCUUUUGAAAAAAUACUUAUAUCUAUAUUAUUUUUAUUGUUGAAAUAAGCUGUUGUCUUACAAUUUGAUGAUUAAAAAAAAUAAAUUUUAGUUUAAGAAUUAAGAAGUUUUUUUUUAAUCAAAAUAUAAGUUUAGCUUUUCAUAUGCUCAUCCAAAUAUAUUUCAUGCGAAGGAUUAUAAAAUUAUAAUGUCAUGUAUGAUAUAUUCAUUUAACUUGUUCCCAUUUAUUGCAUGAGAAAAAUGGUUUUCCUUUUCCACUUGUAUCUCUCGUAUGUCUUAGUCAUGUUGGUGCGUGCCCGGGUUGUGUUGGAACCAAAUUUUUUGAUGGAAUGCUUUUGAAAUAAUAUUGAAAAUGUCGAAGACGUGUCUAUGUUCAAUGCAUGUUCAACACUGAUAUUUGUUGUUUUUAGACAUUUCAAUGUUUUAUAGCUUCUUGCUCCACACAAUCAUCAAUCUCACAUGUUACAAAACUAAUAUUCAUGUGAAAUGCAUUGAAAAUAACUUGGAAAUGUCAGCAUGCGUCAGAGCUAUAUCUAUGUUUAACAUGUGUUCGACAUAGACACAUAAGGCAAUUAGAAGUGCGGAUGCUUUAUAGCUUCUUGCCCUACACAGUCAGUAAUCUCACAGAUUGCAAACAAAGGCUGGAUUGAGAUGGGCCUCUUAUUUUCUUAUUUGUGAUGACACAUUUGGCUUUCUUGAUGAUGACAAGUGUGUGAUGUCACAAAUGAGCAUUGUUCUGUGAUAAGUUAAGGUUGAUUGGAGGAGGCUAUGAUAGUUAUAGAGGAUACAAGCUUGAAGUGGCUUGAGUUCCAGUGGCCGAAGUCCUUGGCUGACUUUGAGGGUUGCUAGUUGUGAUGCACAUUUGUAGGUUGGAUGAUGUGAAAAAUUGUUGGUGAGAACUUGGAAUUUGGAGCAAAGGCGAGGUUCUUGUUCUAGCAAGCAAUAUAGAUUGACAAUGGACAAUGCAAGCUAGUGAACAUGUAGUGGAGAAAGUGGUUGACUUCAGUGGCUAGUUUGGCUAGUGAUAGAAGUGGUGAGGAUAUUUUUGUGACUAUUAAUGUUCACAGGGAGUAACAUAAUAGUGAAGGUGAUAUAUUAAUAAUAAUUAAUAAUAAUUUAUGUGUAUUCUAUUGUGUUUCACUCUUUUUAUGGCUGACUAUUUUUGGAUUAAUGAGAGAAAAAUCAAGAAAAAAUAUUACCGAGAGAAGGGUAGAAUAGGGAUUUAAGUAAGAGAAAAAAGAGAAGACAUUACAGAAAUUACUUGAGGGUAAUUAUAUGUUCUAUCAAUCUCUGAUUAGUUGAAAUAUUAUUCUUUCUAUGCAACUAUGGAUGUAAGUGAGCAUUGUUAGACCCUACAAAGUAUUAUCUUUAUUUAUUUAUUUUUUUUUUCUUGUAACACUUUUAUUUCUCAUUCUCUUAUUCGUUAUUGCUCUCAUACGCGUUCUUUUCACUAAUCAGAGUUUGGCUUUGAAACCUUAAUGGAGAAGUGGAAGUAAUUGCAUCUAAUGACGGACAAACAAAAAUUUAUAUGUCCAAUGUCAAGAAUGUUUCGGUCCUAGAACGUGUGGAUCAAUGGUUGCCUAUAUAGAAAAAGUUAUAUCUAUCUUCUUUAAGAUGAAACUUGUUACCAUGAGUAACGAUAACUGGGAUGUCUUAGGCAAACAAACAUUAAGAGUUGUAUAUCUUUUACAGAUAAAGAAUAUUGUCUUAGACAUAUUGUAAGAGUGGAUCAUAAAAUGGAGCAAUGAAAGCUUUGUUUGAUACAUAUGAGAGGCCUUAGAUCGUGAAUAAGUUUUAUUUAAUGAGAAAUUGUUUUUAAUCUGAGGAUGGUGGAAGUGAAUUCAACAUCAUAGCAUAUCGACAAGUUUAACUUGAUUACAAGUUAGUUGAGUUCGUUUAAUAUUAACUUUAACAUUGAAGUUUUUUCCUUGAACUUAUUAUUAUCACUUUUGGAGAGCUGUUUUGGAGUUGAAAUACCAAUCAUGAGGUUGUGUGUGGCUUCAAAAUUGAAAUUCAGUAUAUGUGAUUUGAUUUUAGGCGAGUACAUUAAAAAAAUUGAAUUAUGUGAAUGCUAUUAUUUUGUUGCUAUGAAUCUUACGAGCAAAGAGAGAGAUGCAAGGAGGGGAUCCAAAUCUCAGAGGAGAUGCUAAUUCAAAGUUCGCAGUGGUGUGUGCUUGUGAUUUGGCAAGAUUGUUCUCAUCAAAAGAGAUUGCUCAUAGGGAAAUGAUUGUGAUGCAUGACUAAAAUGUUUUUAAAUGUAUGCGAUGCGAAAUUGUACGAUUUCUUGAAUCAAGCAAGUAAGAUUAAAACUGUUAGCAAUCAAAACGAUAAUAGAAAACAAGAGAGUGGUGCCUACAUUUGGGCUAAGCCCCUUGCCAAGCAUUUGGAAAAUUAAAAUAAGUUAGAAAUUCAACAACAUGCAAAGUAAAUAGUUUUCAACAAAUCCCUAAUAUAACAAUAAGAUUAGAAGCAUAGAAGACACACUCAAUCCUACAUUUACUAAGCUUAAGGCAUAAGGCGAAGCACGAGUGCACGACUCCUUGUGAUUCUUCACCACCUACAAGAUUAGGGGAUUGGGAAGUUAAUUGAAGGGGGAGAAUGUUUACCUUUGCAAAACCCGAAAACAAGUAGUUGAGAGGUUGAAGACGUUCAUCGUAGCUUCCUUUGAAGGUUCAAUUGGAGAGAAGGAAAUUUCUCCCACACGUUGAAGUGUUGAAGGUAAUGAUCCUUGGCUCGCCUUGAAGAAUCCCUUGAGAGAAAGAAGUUUCUCUCAAUAAUUCAAGUGGUGGGAAGGAUGAGAGGUGGCCGGCCAAUGAAAGAAACUUGGAAAAGAAUUAUGUUCAUAUUUUCAUUAUUAGGUUUAAAGUUUGGAGUGGGAAAAUUAGGUGGGAAGGCUGAAAUUUCUUUCCAAAUCAAAGGACAAAUCAAAGUCCUUUGAUUUUCAAGAAUUUAAAUAGCCUAAAGGGGGAAGAGAGGGGGCGGGUAAGGCUAGGUUGAAUUUGGAUUUAAUUCCAAAGAAAGAGGCUUAAUUUUGGUAAGGGAAUUAAGUGGAUGGGCCCUUGGGAGUUUCGGCUGAUUGAUUUAUGAGUUAAGGCUUUAAUUAAUCAAUCCAUCAUGAUUUGAUUGAUUGAUUUAAAUAAGAACAUUUUCCCAAAAUAUGAUUAAGAGAAAAGGAAAGAUUUGAAAUUUAAAAUUGAUUUAUUUCAAAUUCAAAUAUAUUAUGAAUUGGAAAGUCUCCUAAAAUAGGGUGGCUAUGUUAGGUAACUAUUUCAAAUUCAAAAAAUUUGAAUUUGUUCCGUCAUGGAGUUACCCAAAAUGGGUAGAGCUAAUUUAGGAAAGGAUGGAUGACACAUGGAAGAUGAAGGGGACCAAAGGGAAGGCAGUCGGCAUGGGCUUGGUCGUGAGUGGAGGUGGAGGGAGAUGGGGAGGUGAGAUAGGGCCGGUGACUAUGUUGGUUUUGGGGAGUUUUCUGUGGAGGGAUGGUGGGGAUGAAGGUGGCCGACGGCUUGGAGUGAGGUGGGGUUAGGUGGCCGGUUGGUUAGGUGAUGAGGAGAAAGGAAAAUAGAUAAUGAAGAAAACCACGAACUCGGCCGUCUCUAAGGUUGGUGGGUGAUCCAAAUUCCCUCUCCAAGGGACCUCGCUCCAAUCUCUCAAACUCUCAUAAGAACUCAAACAAGGAGAAUAAGUUUUAUCAUUCAAUCAUUCAUUAACUUUCAAAGAGAAACAUAGGGGCUAUAAAUAGCCUUGUACAUAGGACUCAAAUUAAGAAAGACGACAAUGCCCUCAAGGCUUACAUACGACAUUCCUUAAGGGAUAAAAACGGGAAAAAAUAAAUACAACAUAAAUAACAAGAGACAAAUAACAUAAUAAAAAUAAAUACAUGAAAUGUUUCAAAAAUACAUCGACUCGAUCGUGUCCGUAGAUUGACGGCCACGCAUCUAAUACACUUUUCAUGCUCUGAUUGUAACACCCCACAAUACCACUAAACAGUACGGUGGAGUGUAACGUGCAUAACAUAAACAUUUUUCCUUUUAAAAAUAUUUAAUGCAAUUUCUCUUCUUAGAAGAUCAUAUAAAACAUCCAACCAUAAUUUAAUUCAUAUAAUAAUGGAAGCAACUUUCGAAUUAAAACCUCAAUAACAUACUUACAGAGCCACUAAGGAAAAGUAAUUAAAAUCCAUUUAUGAGAUGUUUUCAUACCUUACCAGAAAAAAAAAAAAAAAAAAAAAAACCUUUAACAUAAAAAGAAGAAAUAACUUGCAUAAAUUAAUUUGCAACAAUCUUCUCCUUGCCCUUUCCUGUAACAACAGCCAGUAAGAAAAUACUGGUGAGCUAUGAGACUCAGUAAGCUUUACAAAUUAAUUAACAUUUAAAGUAUAAAUAAUGGAGAAUAAUCUAGCAUUGAAAUCAUCAUAAAUUUAUAAUUAAUUUUAAUAUUUACUUCUUCUGAAUUCAAUAAUGAAUAUUAAUUUUAAUCUAUAAAACAUUUGGCUACACUUUCAUAAUAUUAUUCAAUAGAGCCCAGGUAAAUCUGGCAUUCUCACCAUUGAAUUAUAUAGAGGUUGCUUUUACCUCUUUAGGGGUCCCUUUUGCCCCACCUGCUAUGCAGGUAUCAUAUUCUUUGGGGUUCCUUUUACCCCUCAUGUAAUACAUGUAUAUUAUCUGGGGUCCCUUUUGCCCCACCUGUAUUUACAGUUAUACAUCAUUUGUAGCCGAACUUUACUUUUCAAUUGAUAUUCAUAAAACUUUUCAGUGUUCAUAAGUCAUACUUAAGUUGUUGCAUUUUUUCAUAAUCAUUGCUGUGAUCACCAGUGUACAAUUAAAAUGCAUCCCAUAUGCAAGUAAAUUGACAUCUUUCCAAAACAGUAUUAAAUAGGAAAACAUUUAGAUUAACAUACUAAACCUUGUUUUACACUUACCUAGUUUCAUUAUGUAUCUGAUUGUUCAUACCUGGAAACUUGAAUUAAAAAUCAUUUCUAUACAUUAAAGAAAAUUAAUAACCUUUUACUUUAAUGCAUUCAAAAUUUACCUUCAUGCUUCUAAAUGAAAUUUCUUAAAUUUGAAUAUAAAUGCAUUACUUACAUUCUUGCUGAGGUGUCUCCAAUUCUCUACUUCGAAGUUUUCUACGAUUGUAAGUCACUUCGAAGCUUUCUCUUGAUAUAUGACCAAAUUUAUCUAAGACAUCAUUAAUUAUAAUAUCUUUAUGAACUUUUACUACUAAUUGAAAUUCCACACUAAGCACAUACCAAAAUAACUUACUUGUGUUUUCCUCUCUGACUUUUCUUUCUUAUUCCCACUUAUUCUUCCUUCACUGUUCUUUCUUUAUUCUUCUUUUACUGAAAUCUGAAUUCAGAAGUUUUCCUUUACAGCAAAAUUCUGCUCCAAGGCUUCAAUUCCAUUUAUCUUUCCUGUUGUUUCUCCUGCUGGAAUCUUACUCUCCAUUCUUUGAACAAUCUACGGGAUCUUCUUCAUACCAGAUGAUAAUUUCCUUUCUUAGCACUGAGCCGAAGAACUCUACCCAGCAAUCACUAUAUCGCUAUUUCCAGCCUGCUGUAAUUCUCAGGAUUCCUAGUGCCGCCUUCUACCACAGAGCCAAACUGAUCUACAAUUCCUGCGGCCCUGUAGCGAAAUAUGCUACAGUGAUUCCUGCUACUGUGCCGCAGCCUUACUUUGGCCGAACCAGGAAAUCAACGGAAGAAGCACUGUGCCGAUAGUUUUCCUUCAGGGAAUCUUCAGGAAUUCCCGCACCAAACCACCUUAUACCUACAACCACUAUGCUGAACACUGAAGCAGUGCAAACUGCACUAUGCCGACUCCCUUAUCUUUCCUGCUUGCAUGAAUCCACAGGAAUAAGGAUAAGAGCUUUGUGAGGCCCCACUCACAUUUGUAUAACUGCUAUCUCUCUCAACCCUACCUAAGCAUCUAUUCAGGAAUACAGGAACUAAAUUAUAUUUCUUAAUAUAAUUACUAAUAAUUACAUAAUAAUAAUCUAAUUAUUAAAAAUCACAAUUCCACUAAAAUAAAUUAUAUUUACCUGCUCUGAAACUUUGGAUAUUACACUGGUGUCCCCAUCAGAUUGGCAUAGUUCAUCUUAAAUGACUGAAUCUAUGAAUGCUACAAUUAAAGAAGUUUAUAAUGCAUUAAUCCAUAGCAUUGAUAGUUUUAUAGAGUUAUGGUUUGUAGUGCAUUUUUUUCUAUUUUACUCUAUUUGGAUAGUUUAUAUGUAACUAUUUUGUAGGAGAUUGUAAGAUGUUAUCUAGUUGAUGAUGAACCCUUGAACAUAAUUGAAGUUGGUAAUGUGCAAAUUAAAAUGGUUAUUAUGAUUGGAUGUAAGCUUCAUAAUUUAAGGAAUACCCCUAGCUUGAAUACAAACUUGGUCUCAAUUGGAUGUUUAGAUGAAGGGAGUUACAUCUUAACUUUUUGUGAUGAAACUUGAAAGAUGAACAGGGCAUUACAGUGAUUUCACAAGAAAGUAAAGAUGGUAAACAUUACAUCAAACUUCUAAAUAGUGGGAGUAAUUAUAGACUCAAUUACAAACUCAAGCAUGUGGCUUCCAAUGUGAGUACACACAACUGAGAAAGAGAUUAGGAUAUUGCAAUUGAAAAGUAAGCUUUUUGGUUUGAACUCCUUGAAUUUUGAUUUCUAUAAAGAUUGUCUUUAGAAAGUAUAGGAAAGUUGGAAGUCCUUGAAUUAAGCCAGUCUUUGCUAGCGCUAGGACAUGUGAGGAUGUUCAUGAGAACUAGGAUGUGCGAGGAUGUUCACGAGAACUAGGAUUUGCGACGAUGAAGUCGAAGAAUGCGGUGAUUUGAAAUUUGUUUGUUUUAGCAAAUUUUAAAUUCCUCAAAAAUAAAAUGUUGGAUGUAUUCAAAAUUUCUCGGAGAAAUAUUUUGCAUUUCUGUCACACCAAACAAACACAUAAAUUCAAAACUCAUUCACUUCAAAUACAAGACACUCAUAAUACAUUCAAUCAAAUAACCCUUAAACUUUCACAUUUAUAGUUUUUUGGGUUUUCUUUUAAUUUGCAUUAGAAACCUUCAGAGUGUUACUUAAUUGAUAAUCUUGGCUAUGAAAAGUUAACUAUCAUCAGGUGCAUAGUGUUUUUUCAAUGAGUAUGUCAUGUGCAAAGUCACAUUUAUAUAUGCAGGCCAAAAUAGGUGGGUAGAUUGAGCUUGAGAAAAUGAUGUGCAUGUUAGUGUUUAAGUCAUUAAGGCUGAGAUACAAGCUUAGAUAAAUGAACGUGUGUUUGAGUUAAGAAAAUCUUAAUGGAUGUUUAGGCAUAUACAUAGUUACUUUCAUAAUUUGUAUUAUUUAUUAUUGGCAAAUGCUGGUGGACUUGGAGGAGCUAAUAGGAUAAUUUCUCUGUUAAGCGAGGGCUAUCAAAGGACAGGCAGGCAUUGCAAAAUAAAUGAUGUUUUAGGAUCAAGGAGGAGCAUGAUAACAAAGGGCUAUAGUUUAUGAAUUUAAUUAGUUUACUUAUAACAAAUUGAUGCAUUGCACAACUUUAGUUAACAGCCAUGGUUGCUUGAGAGGGGUUAUGAUGCAGUCAAAAAUUUGGGGAGGGACCCAAAUUUUUGAUCACAAAAACAAACUCUUCCUAUAACUUAAAAGAGACUAAAAUUUAACAUAAGAUAAGGCGACGACAUUUGCACAAAACAAAAUGACAAUUUUAAUAUUAUGAAAGGACUUACAAGACACUUACAAAUAUAGACGACUUACAAAUGACUCAAACAAGACACCCUAUAGUUGCUUCACAUAGAGAAGAAGGAUACUGAUGGAGUGGCACUUGCGGAUAGAAGAAAGAGAUUAGAAGCCGAGACGAAGGUUGGAAAGAGCCCGCAGGAUUUCCGGAGGGGAUGAGAAAGAAGCUUAGAAAGAGCCCGCAGGAUUUCCAAAGCAAAAACCUCUCAGGUUUGUCCCAAAAAUCACACUUUUAAAACAGCCACAAAACUUCCUCUAUAUAUAGGCAUAAAAGAGGAAUACAAAUAGUCAUUAUAACCACUAAUUAAUUCAAUUAAAAGGGGGGUAAAUGAAAAGACAAAAUUCAGUCCAGAUUUAUGUACAGGAAUCUGUCCAGAAAUCUGUCCCAAAACAGCCCAAAAAACCUGUCAAAAAACAGUCCAAAAAAACUGUUCAUAUUCCCAUAUAAAUGAGGUGAUAAAAGCCAUCAAUAUUCCUGCACAGGAAUCCCAAACAGCAGGGCAGAAAGUCACGGUUUCCAGCAUAGGAAAACCAACAGCAGCAAGCCAUUUAAAAGCCGCGGUAAUAGCAACAAAGAAAUCCAAACGGCAAAGCAAAGAUCAAGGAAAAAAGCCACAGGUUUCCAGCACAACCGAGGCAGCAAUUAAAGGGAAUAAAUGCCACAGGUUCCACCAUAGAGAAACCCCAAAUGCCAACAUUAAAGCACAUUGAAGGCCACGGUUCCAGCAGCCAAAUGAGGGAAAAUAAUGCAGCAGCUCAAGAGGCAAAGAAGAAGAGGAAGAGACAAGUUCCACUCACCUAAAAGCUUGCACCUCAUAAUGAAUUUAUAGCUAAACAUCAGCUCAUAAUGAGCUACACCUCCACAUGAUAAUAAUGAGCUUGCACCACUAAAAUUUCAACAACUAAAGCUCAAAACCGAAAUCAGCCAAGGCUCCCAUGAAACCAGAAAAUAGCCCAAAGGAUAAGGAGGAGAUGAAAGGACAAGUUAAUGAAGAGCAAGGAGAGGGGGAAGAUGAAAAGAUACAAGAGAAGAAACCAAAAGUAAAACUCAACUUGUUUUGACCCCUCCCCUUGCCUACCUCAGGUUACCACACAAAGAUGAUUCUCUUAAGAUUCUACAUUAAAAGUUAAUACGCAAAUGGGAAAUUAUUAGACGUGGAUACAUUUCCUUAAAGUAUUCUUGAUAAAUCCUUAUAAAAUUGAGGGGUUGCCACACAAAGAUGACUCUUUUAACAUGUUACUUUGAAAACUAAUCUACAAGUGGGAGAUUGAUAUAUGUGGAUAUUUUCCUUCAAAGUUUUCUUGAUAAAUCCUUAGAAAUUUGAAGAAAUUUUGGUCAUAAGUUAUUGCAAUAUUGAAAUAUUCUAACAUGAAUCCAGGCAUUUUCUUAUUGGAAUUUGUUGUUAAAAUUUGUUUAGGUUAUUGCAUAUAUUUUUGCUAAUUCUUAACAAAUUUUGAAGUAAAAAUAUGAUCAAACUGUUACCUAAAGUUAAGCCAAAGAAAUCUCAUUAAUUUGCUAUCAUAAUUGCUUUUCUAAAUAUCAGACUUCUUGCACCUUAUACAAUUAUUAUUUAUUAAUAUCAUAGUUGGAAGCAGAGUAUUGUUUGUGAUGGGUGCUUGUUGUUAUUGGCUUGAGAUUGAUGAUAAGUUUAACUUCCUUAGGGAUGACAUGAGUGUGAUGUCAUCAGUGGGCAUCGGUAUGGGAUAAUACGAAGUCAAUUGAAGGAUGAAAAUGAUAAUUGCAGAGGAGAAAAGUCCGUUAUAGCUUGAGUGUAAUGGUGGUAGCCUUUGGUUGGCUUUGAGGAUUGUGAUAGUGAUGUAAAUGUAGAGGUUGGUUUAUGUGAAAGUUUGGUUGUGGGCAUUUGGAUAUUAGAACAAAGGCCAACGAGUUGUUCUAUCCAGCAAUAGAUAAAUAAAUUUUCAAGUCGAGGAUCAAGUAUGAUAAGAAAGUGAUUAGUCUGAGUGGCAUGCUUGGUCGAUGGCAGAAAUAAUGGAAGAUG